UUUUAUCAUUUUCAUCCAUUCGAUUAUACUAUUCAACCAACCACCACUCAACCCUAGGGGGCUCACAUCAUCCUAGCCGUACAUUUUUUAAUCCAAGGGCAAAAAACUUAAAGUACCAAGUCAUUGGUGCUAUAUAUAUAUAUAUAAGGGGCAAUUGUUUAUAUAUCCUUGAAAAGUUCUCGAUUUUUUGAUUUACCCCAUUUUAGAAGGCUAAUGUUAAAAAUGCCCAUUUUACAUUCUAACCUAUUUCAAAUAUAUAUCUAGAGUUAAAAUCUGUUAAUAAACUCUGUUAUCGCUAUAAAAUUACUAUUUUGCCCUUUCAAAGUACCGACUUUUCUUAUUGGCCAUUAAGUUAGCGGUAUAAAAAGUAUCUUAUUUUUUGAUCUUUUCAAAUAUACCCUUCUGUCAACACCAACAUUUCUUAUUUGCCCUUAAGUUAAGGGCAAAAGUGACAUUUUAAUUUUUUUUUUACUGUGCUAGAUAUUUAACUCACGUUUAACCGAAAUUAACUUAACAGAUGGUAACUGUAAGAGUAUUUUGAAAUAACGGAGAAACAUAUGAGGAAUACAUUAGAAAAAAGUAAAAAUAAAUGAGAUAUUUUUAACGGAUGGUAACUGUAGGGAUAUUUUGAAAUAACGAAAGAACAUACGAGGAAUAUAUUAGAAAAAAAAUAUACAAUAAAUGAUAUUUUUUAAAGUUUUGGAGAGGUAUAUAGGCAAUUGGAGUACGGCUAGGAUGCUUAUGGAGACACGGAGGGAUCCGUGCUUCCACUUUAUUUUCGAUGUUCGGACUUUCGAAUCGAUGAUCG
rnacentral:lncRNA from 1 species